AAUUCUAAUGAGCAUUUAAACUUUCUAAGUUUUAAGAAAGUGUUUUUACUUUACGAAUUUC
rnacentral:tRNA from 1 species